AAACGACUCUCGGCAACGGAUAUCUCGGCUCAUGCAUCGAUGAAGAACGUAGCAAAAUGCGAUACUUGGUGUGAAUUGCAGAAUCCCGUGAACCAUCGAGUUUUUGAACGCAAGUUGCGCCCGAAGCCAUCCGGUUCAGGGCACGCCUGCCUGGGCGUCACG
rnacentral:rRNA from 1 species